rnacentral:rRNA from 1 species
UACGUAGGGCGCAAGCGUUGUCCGGAAUUAUUGGGCGUAAAGAGCUCGUAGGCGGCCUGUUGCGUCCGCUGUGAAAUCCCGGGGCUCAACCCCGAGCCUGCAGUCGAUACGGGCAGACUAGAGUGCGUGUAGGGGAGACUGGAAUUCCUGGUGUAGCGGUGAAAUGCGCAGAUAUCAGGAGGAACACCGGUGGCGAAGGCGGGUCUCUGGGCAGUAACUGACGGCUGAGGAGCGAAAGCGUGGGGGAGCAAACAGG